GACGAACGCUGGCGGCGUGCCUAAUACAUGCAAGUCGAGCGCAGGAAGCUGACGGAACUCUUCGGAGGGAAGGCCGUGGAAUGAGCGGCGGACGGGUGAGUAACACGUAAGGAACCUGCCUCAAGGAUUGGGAUAACUCCGAGAAAUCGGAGCUAAUACCGGAUAGUUCAACGGACCGCAUGGUCCGCUGAUGAAAGGCGCUCCGGCGUCACCUUGAGAUGGCCUUGCGGUGCAUUAGCUAGUUGGUGGGGUAACGGCCCACCAAGGCGACGAUGCAUAGCCGGCCUGAGAGGGUGAUCGGCCACACUGGGACUGAGACACGGCCCAGACUCCUACGGGAGGCAGCAGUAGGGAAUCUUCCACAAUGGACGAAAGUCUGAUGGAGCAACGCCGCGUGAGUGAUGAAGGUUUUCGGAUCGUAAAACUCUGUUGUAAGGGAAGAACACGUACGAGAGGAAAUGCUCGUACCUUGACGGUACCUUACGAGAAAGCCACGGCUAACUACGUGCCAGCCGCCGCGGUAA
rnacentral:rRNA from 1 species